rnacentral:lncRNA from 1 species
AUGUACUGUUUUUCACAUACUGUAUAUCUCAGUAAUCUCUUGAUAUUAUUAUUAUUAUUAUUAUUAUUAUUAUUAUUAUUCAGAUCAUACCCUCACUACGGCAGUGUUGGAAUCACAAUUAUCAGGUUAUUCUGUCAUAUGAUGACUCAGCUGCGUCUGAAUAUGAGGAAUUGUGGCCACAGUGUGAAUAUUGGUGGGCAAAUACAUCAGAUCCAAAACAUGUCAUAUCUUACCUGGAAGAGAGAGAAACAGAAGGAAGACCAGGUCAGUUUUUUGCUACUGGUCUGAACCUAACUGAGGAUGCUAAGUAUGUUCUUUCUCAUCUGUGCCAGUCUUUACAAAGUAUGACCUUGAGCUCAUACAGUCUGCUUUUGAACUGGGUCAAACAGCAACGUCCAGGCCCGGGCACAUCAUGUGUCAACAUCAUCUGUGCAGAUUUUGUGGGGGCUUUCAGCAAUGAAUUCACCCAGCUGGUUAUUGGACUCAAUCAAACACUCUUAGAGCAGACCUGACCCUUAAAUCUGCCAUAAACAUUACAUAAAUGUAUCAUCUUUCUUGCAGUGUAUCUUGUUGUUUUUAAUGGAAGCCUUGUUGUUUUUGAUGUUUACAUAUUCAUAUUUUUUUAGUCUUUUAUGACAGUCCCUGAGAUGUGAGGAAACAAUGUUUUGUGCAAUGCUGCCAUCUACAGGCAAUCCAUAUUUAGGAUUUUGUUUGAUACAUGUCUCAAAAUAAUGUUACUUGCAACUUUUACACAAACUACUGAAAUGGCAAAAACGAAACUUCUUUCCUGAUUGUUCUUGGAUAUUUGACAAAAGGGCAGAUUGAUAUAAUCAAAGACUAAGUGGCUCAAUAGAUUAUAGCAUUACCUGUCCAAUGAGUCACACUUAAUUUUAGUAACGUCUAAUGUCCUGUCAUGACUUCAUCUAUUGUUGAUACUCUGUUUGGCUUUCAGUCCAUGUGGGUAACAUGUAUCUGUGGGGUCCAAUUUUAGACGCCCCUUUGAGUGCACUCUCUAAGGUGCUUAACAUUUAUAGUAACUACUUAAAUGAUAAUCCAGUUCACUGAUGCCUUUCACACUCAGUUUGUGUAGGUUGUAUAAGGUAAAUAAACAUGGGUUUUACUUUUAUGCAUGGUUUUUCCGGAUGUUUUGAAAUCUGAAAAUAACAGCAAAGAUUUUUCUGAAAAUCUUUAAGGAAGUUUAUUUUUAUUUUAACAUCUUAUUAAUCUGAAGACAAAAACCAAAUAUGUUUCUUUGGCAACAUUUUUUUCAUACCAGAGUUACCAACCUGGAUAUCAUUUUGCUGAUUUUUUAUUUUUUUUUCCAAGAAUGCAUUGCAUUAGUGUGCUCUACAUGCAGUAUCCAAAGUAUUUAGAACAUUCUGAAUAGAUCUGUAGUGGGAUACUUCCAGAGAGCUUUGAGAAUCCCCUCCCUCCUCUUCCAAGUCCCCACCUCUUUCCUAAACAGAUUAUUGAGGAGCUAAAGCAGCUUGCAUCGGUCCCUGUGUCGUCUCAAUAAGGCUUAGAGUUCCAGAGGAAACAGAUGGGAUAAGAAAACCAGGGGAUCUAAUUACAGAGGCUUAUUUAGCAAUACAAGGCCCGUCCAGAACCCAGUCGCAAGCCUCAAGCCGCUGCUCCUCACAGUUUCUCUUUCAGAGGUAUUCAUCUCAAACCCUUAA